AGAGUUUGAUCCUGGCUCAGGACGAACGCUGGCGGCGCGCCUAAUGCAUGCAAGUCGAACGAAUGAACCAACUUCGGUUGGCAAGUUAGUGGCAGACGGCUGAGUAACGCGUAAAUAACCUACCCAUUGGCGGGGGACAACCCGAAGAAAUUCGAGCUAAUACCGCAUGUGGUUCAUUCCUGCAGGGGGAUGAACGAAAGACUUCGGUCACCAGUGGACGGAUUUGCGUUCCAUCAGGUAGUUGGUGAGGUAACGGCCCACCAAGCCUACGACGGGUAGCCGGUGUGAGAGCACGACCGGCCAGAGGGGGACUGCGACACGGCCCCCACUCCUACGGGAGGCAGCAGCAGGGAAUCUUGCGCAAUGGGCGAAAGCCUGACGCAGCGACACCGCGUGGAGGAUGAAGGUCCUAGGAUUGUAAACUCCUUUUAUCAGGGAAGAGAACGGACGGUACCUGAUGAAUAAGGUUCGGCUAACUACGUGCCAGCAGCCGCGGUAAUACGUAGGAACCGAGCGUUGUCCGAAUUUACUGGGCGUAAAGAGCGCGUAGGUUGUUAGUUAAGUCUCAUGUGUAAUCUCCCGGCUCAACUGGGAGGGGUCAUGAGAUACUGGCAGACUAGAGGAUAGCAGAGGAAAGCGGAAUUCAGGGAGUAGUGGUGAAAUGCGUAGAUACCCUGAGGAACACCAGAGGCGAAGGCGGCUUUCUGGGCUAUUUCUGACACUGAGGCGCGAAAGCGUGGGGAGCAAACAGGAUUAGAUACCCUGGUAGUCCACGCCCUAAACGAUGGAUACUAGAUAUUGGGGGUAUAGACCCCUCCAGUGUCGAAGCUAACGCGAUAAGUAUCCCGCCUGGGGAGUACGGCCGCAAGGCUA
rnacentral:rRNA from 1 species